GUGCUCACUUUGGCAGCACAUAUACUAAAAUUAGAAUGAUACGGAGAAGAUUAGCAUGGCCCCAGCGCAAGGAUGACAUACACAUUUAUUGUUGAGCAUUCCCUGAGUUU
ensembl:snRNA U6 U6 spliceosomal RNA